CCUCUGCCCCUCUCCCUGCUUGUGCUCUCUCUUUCUCUCUGUCUCAAAUGAAGAAAUAAAAAUCUUAAGAAAAGAAGCAGACAUUCCAGUAGGAGAAUAGGACAAUAUACAAUAGACCAUGGAAAAUCAAUGAUAUGUUAGCAGGUAAAACGUUACGACAAUGAAAAGCAGCAGGUAAAGGGUCUGAGUGGUAUCAGAUCUAGGGUGAGAGGUUUAAAAGGAGGUCAGGGAAGGCCUCCAGAGGGUCAUGUGUGAGCCAAGAUACAAAGGAGGCAAUGGAGGGGGCCAAGUGAAUAGGAAAAGAGUUUCCAGGCAGAGCAAACAGUAAGUCCAAAGGCCCUGGGGCAGGAGACUGCAUGGAAGUAUUCAAGCCCCAGCCAAGGAGGCCAGUGUGGCUGGAGAUUGGUCAGGGGGGCCAUGGGAGGGCAGAUCUCAUAGGACCUUGUUGGCCAUGAUGUGGACUGUGCCUUGGAUUCCAGAAAGGGCCAGGAAGGAGUCUGAGCCGAGGAAGGGCCUAGUGUGAUUUAGGGGCGGAAUGUGAAUAGGCUGUGGGGUGUGAGCACAGAAGCAGGGCAAUCCGUGGGGCGGCAGUGACUGCACUGGUCUAGGCGAGAGAUUGAGGAUGGCUCAGGCUAGCCUGGUGAAUGUGAAGGUGGUGGGCAACUCCCAGAAGCUGGAGCCAACGGGACUUGCCGUGGGCCCAGGUCACCCUGAGGCUUUGGGCCUGAGUCAUCUGUUAGGAUCAGCUGGGUCAGAGGGAGCGUGGCAAGAGCCAUCCCAGCUGGCCUGGCCAUGGGGCAGGUGCUCUGACGGGGGCCCCGCCUGGCACACUGGGCACGCAGAAGAGGAAGCCCUGCCCCAGGAGGAAGUGGCAGGCUGCGGUGGAGGCAGGUGCAGCCAAGGUGAGGCCCAUGCUGCUGCACCCCCGGGUGUGCCAGGCCCCCCCCCCCAGAGCUCUGGGGACAGGACGAAGGGGGCAGGAACGGGCAGGUGUGGGGGCCACUGGCCCAAGAGAGCUCCCUUUGGGGCAGGGGCCAAGGGGCUGAGGUGUGAGGGUGCCAGUCCUCUUGGGACAGGGAGCGCCCUGGCAGGGGUGUCAGCAUGCCCAGCCCACAUCUGGUACUGCCCCCAAUCCCAGUCUCUCACUGACCUGAAACUGGGCUCUGUGACUGUUUCUCCCCAGACUUUCCCUGAUGACAGGUGUGAGGCCUCCAGGGCAGUGGUGGGGUGGGGGUGGUGGGGGAAUGGAAAGAGGAAGGAUUGAAGGGGCGGUCUGCAAACUGCCUAUGCAAAUGGCCUCUGACUCAGUGCACCCCCGCAACCCUCGCUCCAGGCCUGGUGGGGGCGAGGGAGGGGGCUACCAGGUUUUUUCUUAAUUCUCACUUCCUCUGUUCUCUGAGCCGAUGCGGGAAGGGGCUGUGAGCCCUAAGCAUCCUUUCCUGCAGCCGCUGCCCAGUCUGCCAGCCAGCCCCUCUGGAGAAGCCCCCGCUCCCUGUCAUGGGCCCCUGCUGUGGCGCCCUGCACCCCCUGUCUCUCCUGGUGCAGGCUGCCGUGCUGGCCGUGGUCCUGGCCCCGGGCGCCCUGCCUCCCUUCCUGCCCUGUGAGCUCCAGCCCCACGGCCUGGUGGACUGCAACUGGCUGUUCCUCAAGUCUGUGCCCCGCUUCUCGGCGGCAGCGCCCCGCGGGAACAUCACCAGCCUCUCCCUCUACUCCAACCGCAUCCACCACCUCCACGACUCCGACUUUGUCCACCUGUCCAGCCUGCGGCGUCUCAACCUCAAGUGGAACUGCCCCCCCGCCGGCCUCAGCCCCAUGCACUUCCCCUGCCACAUGACCAUCGAGCCCAACACCUUCCUGGCCGUGCCCACCCUGGAGGACCUGAACCUGAGCUACAACGGCAUCACUACUGUGCCCGCCCUGCCCAGUUCCCUCGUGUCCCUGUCCCUGAGCCGCACCAACAUCCUGGUGCUGGACCCUGCCCACCUUGCAGGCCUGCACGCCCUGCGCUUCCUCUUCCUGGAUGGCAACUGCUACUACAAGAACCCCUGCCGACAGGCCCUGCACGUGGCCCCGGGCGCCCUCCUGGGCCUGGGCAACCUCACACACCUGUCGCUCAAGUACAACAACCUGACCGUGGUGCCCCGCCUUCUGCCCCCCAGCCUGGAGUACCUGCUCUUGUCCUACAACCACAUCAUCACCCUGGCCCCCGAUGACCUGGCCAAUCUGACGGCCCUGCGCGUGCUUGACGUGGGGGGGAACUGUCGCCGCUGUGACCACGCCCGCAACCCCUGCAGGGAGUGCCCCCACGGCUUCCCCAAGCUGCACCCUGACACCUUCAGCCAUCUGAGCCGCCUUGAAGGCCUGGUGUUGAAGGACAGCUCUCUCCACAGCCUGAACCCCAGGUGGUUCCUCGGCCUGGGCAACCUCCUGGUGCUGGACCUGAGCGAGAACUUCCUGUACAGCUGCAUCACCAAAACCAAAGCCUUCCAUGGCCUGGCCCGGCUGCGCAGACUCAACCUGUCCUUCAAUUACCACAAGAAGGUGUCCUUCGCCCACCUGCAUCUGGCACCCUCCUUCGGGAGCCUGCUGUCCCUGCAGGAGCUGGACAUGCAUGGCAUCUUCUUCCGCUCGCUCAGCGAGACCACGCUCCGGCCGUUGGCCCACCUGCCCAUGCUCCAGCGUCUGCAUCUGCAGUUGAACUUCAUCAACCAGGCCCAGCUUGGCAUCUUCGGGGCCUUCCCGGGCCUGCGCUACGUGGACCUGUCAGACAACCGCAUUAGCGGAGCUGCAGGGUGGGCGGCGGGGGCCACGGGGGAGGCGGGCGGGGUGGAGAAAGUCUGGUGGCUGUCCAGGGACCUGGCUGCGGGCCCACCGGGCACCCCGAGCUCUGAGGACUUCAUGCCAAGCUGCAGGACCCUCAACUUCACCUUGGACCUGUCGCGGAACAACGUAGUGACGAUCCAGCCGGAGAUGUUUGCCCAGCUCUCGCACCUGCAGUGCCUGUGCCUGAGCCACAACAGCAUCUCUCAGGCGGUCAACGGCUCACAGUUCGUGCCGCUGAGCAGCCUGCGGGUGCUGGACCUGUCCCACAACAAGCUGGACCUGUACCAUGGGCGCUCCUUCACCGAGCUGCCGCGGCUGGAGGCCCUGGACCUCAGCUACAACAGCCAGCCCUUCGGCAUGCGCGGCGUGGGCCACAACCUCAGCUUUGUGGCGCAGCUGCCGGCCCUGCGCUUCCUCAGCCUGGCGCACAACGCCAUCCACAGCCGCGUGUCCCAGCAGCUCCGCAGCACCUCGCUGUGGGCCCUGGACUUCAGCGGCAAUGCCCUGAGCCAGAUGUGGGCGGAGGGGGACCUCUACCUGCACUUCUUCCAAGGCCUGAGGAACCUGGUCCGGCUGGACCUGUCCCAGAAUCGCCUGCACACCCUCCUGCCCCGCAACCUGGACAACCUCCCCAAGGGCCUGCGGCUGCUGCGUCUUCGUGACAACUACCUGGCUUUCUUCAACUGGAGCAGCCUGGCCCUCCUCCCCAUGCUGGAGGCCCUGGACCUGGCGGGGAACCAGCUGAAGGCCCUGAGCAACGGCAGCUUGCCGAACGGCACCCGGCUCCAGAGGCUGGACCUCAGCAGCAACAGCAUCGGCUUCGUGGUCCCCGGCUUUUUCGCCCUGGCCACGAGGCUGAGAGAGCUCAACCUCAGCGCCAAUGCCCUCAAGACGGUGGAGCCCUCCUGGUUUGGCUCCGUGGCAGGCGCCCUGAAAGUCCUAGAUGUGACCGCCAACCCGUUGCACUGUGCCUGUGGGGCGGCCUUUGUGGACUUCUUGCUGGAGGUGCAGGCCGCAGUGCCCAGGCUGCCCAGCCACGUCCGGUGUGGCAGCCCCGGCCAGCUCCAGGGCCACAGCAUCUUCGAGCAGGACCUGCGCCUCUGCCUGGACGAGGCCCUCUCCUGGGACUGCUUCGGCCUCUCGCUGCUGGCUGUGGCCCUGAGCCUGGCUGUGCCCAUGCUGCACCACCUGUGUGGCUGGGACCUCUGGUACUGCUUCCACCUGUGCCUGGCCUGGCUGCCGUGGCGCGGGCGACAGCGGGGUGCUGCCGCCCUGCCCUAUGAUGCCUUCGUGGUCUUCGACAAGGAGCAGAGCUCGGUGGCCGACUGGGUGUACAACGAGCUGCGGGUCCAGCUGGAGGAGCGCCGCGGGCGCCGGGCGCUGCGCCUGUGCCUGGAGGAACGUGACUGGCUGCCCGGCAAAACGCUCUUUGAGAACCUGUGGGCCUCGGUCUACAGCAGCUGCAAGACGGUGUUCGUGCUGGCCCACACGGACCGCCUCAGCGGCCUCCUGCGUGCCAGCUUCCUGCUGGCCCAGCAGCGCCUGCUGGAGGACCGCAAGGACGUGGUGGUGCUGGUGAUCCUGCGCCCCGAUGCGCACCGCUCCCGCUACGUGCGCCUGCGUCAGCGCCUGUGCCGCCAGAGCGUCCUCCUGUGGCCCCGGCAGCCCAGCGGCCAGCGCGCCUUCUGGGCCCAGCUGGGCACCGCCCUGACCAGGGACAACCGCCACUUCUACAACCGGAACUUCUGCCGUGGCCCCACGACGGCCGAAUAGCCCGGGGACGGCCCAGGCCGCCCCGCCACGCCACUGCCCGGCCUCCCCUGCUCCCCACCGGGCAUGUAGCAGGCGCUCAAUAAGCAGACGCCCCUCGGAGGCCCAACGGCUAACCCUGAGCUCACUGGAGGCGUGAGCGGGAGGCCAGAAGGGGGACUGCGCCAGGCUUUCCUGCCUGCAGUGAGGAGGGACAAGAGGUGAUUUGGGAGAAAUUGCCAAGCAGGAGAAGCGGGGGCCCAGACACUGCAGGUCUGCAGGGCAGGGAAGCUGCUGAGGACAGUUGUGUUGACGAGCAUCUUCUCAGGGGAGUCUGAGGAAGGUCCCUGAAUGUGGUCUCGGUCCUUCGCAGACAGCAGGCUGGGUCUCCCUGUCCCAUCCAGGCCCCUCCUCACACGCCCUCCCCUCCCCAUCCCCCGCCGCUCCAGGCAGCCCAGGGCAGGCUGGGUCGUAUACCCGCCUCAGGAUCUGCCUCCCACACCCGCACGCCUGAAAAUGCCUUGAGGGCAGAGAACUGGCAGGCCUGCUUCAUUCCUGGCCCCCAGCAAAAUCCUGAGAGGCAGCGGCCCUGGUGAGUGUUCAUUCCGGCGGGGGAAAGCGUUGUGCGGAGUUCAGGGGGCCGUUUGCGCCAUCUGGUGGUCAUGCCUGUGCUGUGCCCAGGAGGCGGGCCCGGGGUUGGGGCGAAGCCUCUAAGUAGCUCCCGGCAGCAGGGAGCUGGGAGCCACAGAGAUGCUAGAGUGGGCUCACAAUCCGUCCCUUUCCGUUUUCACCUAGAAUGGAUACUGGGUCUCUCUGUACUGACAUCAAAGGGACACCUGGGUGAGCCACCACCUGGCUACAAAGGUGGGGCCUGCCUUCCCGGCCCCUGCAUUUCACCGCGGAUUGCCCUUAGGUGGGAGAGAGCCUCAUCUGAUGAGGGUGGAGCACGUGUGUACAUUUCUAGUUCUGAUAUCCAGCGUAGGGUUCCAGACACUGCUUGGAGCACCAAUGACUGGUGUUUGGAGACAGCCGAGUGUGUGGGGAGUUGUGGGUCACGUCAGGCCUGGAGCCUUGGCGGUUCCUUUGUCCUGGACUACUGCCUCACUGUCCCCACAACUGAACCUGCCCUCUGAGGAGCAGAGGAGACGUGUGCAGCCGGACAGCUGACGCUGGGGCCCGGGGUGGCCGGAGAGUGGAACCAGCUCGGCUGGCUCAGGACAGCUGGGGGCCGGCCCAGCCACUUCAGGCCUCUGCGGUGGAAGGAUACUCUCAUGCUCCGGGCAUCUAUACAUUCUUGGAAAACUUCUAUCACAUCAUACAUUUCCAUACUCAAGUCCUUAUUAUGAUGAGGGAGCAGAAGGCUAGCUGAAGACAAAGCACAAGCUGAUACCCUGCAACCUCCCUGCACCCCCACUCCUGGCAGGACAGGUGUGUGACACUCUUCCAGCAAUCUCCCAACUAUCUUAAUGCCUUGCCAGAGGGAAAAACAACCUUAGCUUGAUGAUAGCCAGGCCUCUAGUAUCCUAAGGGUCUUCUUUAACAUAUGAAAAUCCUUUUGAAACCUCCCUUUUCCGGGGCACUUGGGUGGCUCAGUCAUUGGGCUU